rnacentral:rRNA from 1 species
ACACUCCUGCGGGAGGCAGCAGUGGGGAAUUUUGGACAAUGGGCGAAAGCCUGAUCCAGCAAUGCCGCGUGAGUGAAGAAGGCCUUCGGGUUGUAAAGCUCUUUUGUCAGGGAAGAAACGGUGAGAGCUAAUAUCUUUUGCUAAUGACGGUACCUGAAGAAUAAGCACCGGCUAACUACGUGCCAGCAGCCGCGGUAAUACGUAGGGUGCAAGCGUUAAUCGGAAUUACUGGGCGUAAAGCGUGCGCAGGCGGUUUUGUAAGUCUGAUGUGAAAUCCCCGGGCUCAACCUGGGAAUUGCAUUGGAGGCUGCAAGGCUAGAAUCUGGCAGAGGGGGGUAGAAUUCCACGUGUAGCAGUGAAAUGCGUAGAUAUGUGGAGGAACACCGAUGGCGAAGGCAGCCCCCUGGGUCAAGAUUGACGCUCAUGCACGAAAGCGUGGGGAGCAAACAGGAUUAGAUACCCCAGUAGUCCCAUGAU